rnacentral:rRNA from 1 species
UACGGGAGGCAGCAGUGGGGAAUAUUGGACAAUGGGCGCAAGCCUGAUCCAGCCAUGCCGCGUGUGUGAAGAAGGCCUUCGGGUUGUAAAGCACUUUUGUCCGGAAAGAAAAGCUUAGGGUUAAUAACCUUGAGUCAUGACGGUACCGGAAGAAUAAGCACCGGCUAACUUCGUGCCAGCAGCCGCGGUAAUACGAAGGGUGCAAGCGUUACUCGGAAUUACUGGGCGUAAAGCGUGCGUAGGUGGUUUUGUUAAGUCUGAUGUGAAAGCCCUGGGCUCAACCUGGGAAUGGCAUUGGAAACUGGCUUACUAGAGUGCGGUAGAGGGGUGUGGAAUUCCCGGUGUAGCAGUGAAAUGCGUAGAUAUCGGGAGGACAUCUGUGGCGAAGGCGACACCCUGGGACCAGCACUGACACUGAGGCACGAAAGCGUGGGGAGCAAACAGGAUUAGAUACC